UACGUAGGGGGCAAGCGUUGUCCGGAUUUAUUGGGCGUAAAGAGCUCGUAGGCGGUUUGGUAAGUCAGGUGUGAAAUCUCCACGCUCAACGUGGAGGGGCCACCUGAUACUGCCAUGACUGGAGUCCGGUAGAGGAGUGUGGAAUUCCCGGUGUAGCGGUGAAAUGCGCAGAUAUCGGGAGGAACACCCGUAGCGAAGGCGGCUCUCUGGGCCGGUACUGACGCUGAGGAGCGAAAGCUAGGGGAGCAAACGGG
rnacentral:rRNA from 1 species